UACGGAGGGUGCAAGCGUUAUCCGGAUUCACUGGGUUUAAAGGGUGCGUAGGUGGGUUGGUAAGUCAGUGGUGAAAUCCCCGAGCUUAACUUGGGAACUGCCAUUGAUACUAUCAGUCUUGAAUAUUGUGGAGGUUAGCGGAAUAUGUCAUGUAGCGGUGAAAUGCUUAGAUAUGACAUAGAACACCAAUUGCGAAGGCAGCUGGCUACGCAUAUAUUGACACUGAGGCACGAAAGCGUGGGGAUCAAACAGG
rnacentral:rRNA from 2 species